rnacentral:rRNA from 1 species
AUUGAACGCUGGCGGCAUGCCUUACACAUGCAAGUCGAACGGUAACAGGGAGCUUGCUCCGCUGACGAGUGGCGAACGGGUGAGUAAUGUAUCGGAACGUACCAUUCAGUGGGGGAUAACGUAGCGAAAGUUACGCUAAUACCGCAUAUUCUGUGAGCAGGAAAGCAGGGGAUCGCAAGACCUUGCGCUGAUUGAGCGGCCGAUAUCAGAUUAGCUAGUUGGUGAGGUAAAGGCUCACCAAGGCGACGAUCUGUAGCGGGUCUGAGAGGAUGAUCCGCCACACUGGAACUGAGACACGGUCCAGACUCCUACGGGAGGCAGCAGUGGGGAAUUUUGGACAAUGGGGGCAACCCUGAUCCAGCCAUGCCGCGUGAGUGAAGAAGGCCUUCGGGUUGUAAAGCUCUUUCGGCCGGGAAAAUACGCAUCAGUUAAUACCUGGUGUGGAUGAUGGUACCGGAAUAAGAAGCACCGGCUAACUACGUGCC